rnacentral:rRNA from 1 species
CCUACGGGGGGCAGCAGUGGGGGAUAUUGCACAAUGGGGGAAACCCUGAUGCAGCGACGCCGCGUGGGUGAAGAAGUAUUUCGGUAUGUAAAGCCCUAUCAGCAGGGGAGAAAGAAGACGUUACCUGACUAAGAAGCCCCGACUAACUACGUGCCAGCAGCCGCGGUAAUACGUAGGGGCCGCGCGUUAACCGGGUUCACGGGGUGUAACGGGAGCGUAGACGGCCGUGCAAGCCAGGGGUGAAAGCCCGGGGCCCAACCCCGGGAGUGCCCUUGGUACUGUGCGGCUAGAGUGCGGGAGGGGUAGGCGGAAUUCCUGGUGUAGCGGUGAAAUGCGUAGAGAUCAUGAGGAACACCGGCGGCGAAGGCGGCCUGCUGGACCGUGACUGACGUUGAGGCUCGAAAGCGUGGGGAGCAAACAGGAUUAGAUACCCGAGUAGUC